CUUUUGAGCCAGGAUGAGCCAGGAGAAGGAAUUUCACAAGGUAAUGGCUUCAGUUAAAGCAGAAACCGGCCAUUUUCACUUCUUUUGUGAUUCUUCACUUGCUUCGGGCCAUCUCGACAUAUACAUGCAGGUCACAGGGGAUAUGAUAGCUUAGCUUGGGCUCAGAGGCCUGACACUGUUGAUAGUUUAUUUUGCUCUGCAGACGUUCUUUAACUUCAUUAGGCAAUACUUGUCAAUUUUUGUUUUUGCUGCAAUUGCUUUUGGCUACUAAGCCAAAAAUUAUUUGCCAAGGCUGAUAUCGGGAGGGUAUGUCCUAGGUUUCCUUAUAGGACAUUUACAGUUCGAAGUCUUACAUUUACAUCUUUAAUCCAUCAUCAGUUAAUUUUUGUAUAUGGUGAAAUGUAAGGGUCCAGUUUUAUUCUUCUACAUAUGACUAGCCAAUUAUCCCAGCAUGAUUUACUAAAUGGGGAGUCCUUUCCUCAUUGCUUUUGUUGGCCUUGUCGAAGAUCAGAGGAUUAUGGAGUCUUGCUCUGUCGCCCAGCCAGGCUGAAGUGCAGUGGUGCAAUCUUGGCUCACUUCAAACUCCGCCUCCCAGGUUCAAGUGAUUCUCCUGCCUCAGUCUCCUGAGUGGCUGGGACCACAGGUAUGGAAUGCAUUUGAACAGGCAUAUUCCUACAGGGCAUCGCCAACAUGGGAAAUAAGUAGUAAUAUGUCUUGAAAUCUUACUGAGAAAUUUGACUAUUUUGUGAACAUGGUCCUAUAUACACCACUUAGUUUUGGUGAUGUGAUGGGAAUUUAGUGAAACCUUCGUAUGGGUUAUUUUGUAUGAACUGGCCAUGAAGGUGGCUCUUUUCUUACAUUUUAACAUGGAAGAGAGAAGAAGCAUAUGGCAGCCCAGAAAUGCUGGACAUCAGGGACUUUUUGCUUCUGUGAAUACUGUGAGUGUAUCUGGAAUAAAUUACAGUGACUCUAAUAAAAUGAAAUGUUGAAUCACUU
rnacentral:lncRNA from 1 species